CCGGCGCCGGCGCCAUCUUUAAGGCGUCCAAUGUCACCAGUUCCAUCUCCCCCAUCGAAACCCCAUCCAUCACCUCUGUCGAAUCCUCCAGCACCCAGUCCUCCCUCGCCGCUGCCAGUCCUUCCACCAAACCCUACUCCGCCGGCCCCGCCGCUGCCAGGCCUUCCACCAAUCCCUGCUCCGACGGCACCGCCGAAUCGAGCCCCUACGCCGCCUCUAAAUCCACGGAAGGGGAUCCCGUAAGGAGGGAAACGGAAACGGAAAUACGCUGUCUGCACAUCGGCAGCACUCUUCCCGGCGGGUGACAUCCGGCCAUUUACGGCGACGGCGAAUGCUGCAAUUGCAACUAGUAAGAGAAUCUUAAUCGCCAUAUCUCUUUUCCUUCUUAUUUGCUCGAGUCUACUGAAACUGAUUGUGAAUGAGAUUUUACUAGGUUGAGAAAGUAUGGUAAUUUAUACUGACAAUUAGAACAGAAUUCAUCACACUUUUUCUCCCUCUAGUUUUUGGUGAAAAUUUGUUGACCAACAUGUAUUGCAACAAGAUUGAAUUUGGUGCCAUCUUUAAAUUGAAUUUUCUUUUGUAAACAGAAACCAAACAUCAAGAUUCUGAAUUAAAAAUAACUGAUUCAACAACAUAUUCUUCAGAGAAAUUCGACAGCGAGAACGUUGUCGAAAACAAGUUCUGAGGUACAAAUCGUACAAUAGAGAAACCAAAAAAAAAAAAAUUUUGUGAAGACAAUGAAUAGAAUAUAUAACUCAGCAGCUAAAGUUGCGCUACUAUUACUCCCUAUAUAUAUCCUAGUUCAUAUCAUUUUUUUCCGGAUGCCACAUGUCACCCUUUCGUGACAGAAGCUUAAUCCACGUCAUUUCGAAUUCAAAAAGGUCUAGUACGAUGACCUCUUGCUCGGCCACAGAGAAGAGCAUUCCUUGGAAUGGGAAGCUCGUCUCUGAACGAUGUUGAUGGUGUGUAAACCCUUAGGUAGAAUUGUUGACCAAGAUAUUGUCUUGCCCAAUCCUCUGAUCUUAUAUUCCACAUUCCCACAUUGUCCAAUGCUACAUAUAUUGCCGUCCAAGAUUUCGGGUACACCUGUAAUAACACCCCGAAAGAAAACACCAUCAACGAGCAGCAAAAGGAAAUCAAAAGAAGAAGAAAAAAAGAGAGACUAGCUUUAUAUGUACCUGAACAGUGCAACGGGCGACUGUGUCUCUCAAAUUGUAGCGUAAUCGACUUGCUUGAGUCCAUCCUCCACCGUCCAUUCUGUUAAUUUGUUGAAAAAUUUAGCCCAAAAAAAAUGUUUUUAAGGAUCAAGAAAGCAUGAUUAGAUAGGUAGUAGUAUAUAUUUUUUUAUUUUUUUUGCAGUGUGGAAAUAUGGACUCACCCAACGACGAAGAAAGAGUAUCCAUCAAUGUGCCACGACUGGAGGGUAUUCUCCCAGUUCUGAAACACGACUUCUAUAAA
rnacentral:lncRNA from 1 species